GCAGCCUGAUGCAGCAACGCCGCGUGAGGGAUGACGGCCUUCGGGUUGUAAACCUCUUUUAGUAGGGAAGAAGCGAAAGUGACGGUACCUGCAGAAAAAGCACCGGCUAACUACGUGCCAGCAGCCGCGGUAAUACGUAGGGUGCAAGCGUUGUCCGGAAUUAUUGGGCGUAAAGAGCUCGUAGGCGGUUUGUCGCGUCUGCUGUGAAAUCUGGGGGCUCAACCCCCAGCCUGCAGUGGGUACGGGCAGACUAGAGUGCGGUAGGGGAGAUUGGAAUUCCUGGUGUAGCGGUGGAAUGCGCAGAUAUCAGGAGGAACACCGAUGGCGAAGGCAGAUCUCUGGGCCGUAACUGACGCUGAGGAGCGAAAGCAUGGGGAGCGAACAGGAUUAGAUACCCUGGUAGUCCAUGCCGUAAACGUUGGGAACUAGAUGUGGGGGCCAUUCCACGGUCUCCGUGUCGCAGCUAACGCAUUAAGUUCCCCGCCUGGGGAGUACGGCCGCAAGGCUAAAACUCAAAGGAAUUGACGGGGGCCCGCACAAGCGGCGGAGCAUGCGGAUUAAUUCGAUGCAACGCGAAGAACCUUACCAAGGCUUGACAUAUACCGGAAACGUCCAGAGAUGGUCGCCCCGCAAGGG
rnacentral:rRNA from 1 species